GUCGCCGUGACGAAAAUGGCAAACGUACCAGGCUGAGAACCUGGGCCCGCAAGGGCACUGUGGGUUCGAUUCCCACCGGCGACA
rfam:Chondromyces apiculatus DSM 436 contig24, whole genome shotgun sequence.